CUCAGCUUCAGGAUCUGUCCUUCCAGUUCCAGUGAGCACUCAGGGCUGAUUUCCUUCAGAAUGGAUAGGUUUUCGCCCAACCUCACACAAAUGGCUUCCUGAUUGCUCCCAGAGUAAAAAAAAAACAACUCCCAUUCCUUAUCUGGCACCUCUCCUCCGCUUUCCGGUGUUCAUGCCCCAAGAAAAUCCCGCCCAUGACUUUUGUCUCACCUUGAACGCCCUCAGCCCCUUAAACACAUCCUGCUCUACCCUUUCCCCUUGGCUGCCCUUUGAUGAUGCUAACCCUCUCUUCCUUUGAAAACUAAGGGCUUAGCAACACUUAUCUUUGGUCCCACUCUUUCAGGCAGAGGUCCAGGGCCCACGCUUUAACGCUCCGUGUCAGAGCAGUUUGCCGGGGGGGAAAUACUUGUUAAAGCUGAAUCAGUGCAAACAUCCAUUUGGGUUUUCCACUGAUUGACAUUUGCUCCAGUUGAACUUUAAAGAGUGUGUUUUACAGGGAAUGCUCCAGAGCAGGCUUCCUCACACUCGGCCCUCCAGAUGUUUUGAGACUACAAUUCCCAUCCCCCUAAAUAACUUUAGGGCGAAUGCUUCUAUCAAGGAUACAUACAAGGGUUCCCAAACUCUGUUGCAAUACUCAGCACCUGUUAUGGGCUCAGCAUUGGUGCACGCUGUGGCAAAGAGGGAAAGACCCUGCACCCACAGAGUGGACAUGGUCAUCUAUUAAAAAAUAAGAGCAGAUGAAGAUUGUUCUUUGACAGAAGGCACAGUCAUCCAUGUAGACCUGUGUCUUGGGCGGAUCCAGUAAUCCUAGGCUCCACUCUAUCAUGUGCCAGCCCUCCUCCAGCCCUCCAGUGCCUAAGCCAAAUCCAAACUACAACCGGAAUCAAGAGUUGGUGGGCCUCACCAAGGCAACCAGGAAAAGACCAAGGAGCUACAGAGUGGACAUGGUCAUAUGUUAAAAAAAAAGCAGAGCAGAUGAAGAGGAGGCAUCGUCAACAACUUGAGUAGGGAUCAGUGAACUGACAAACUACUUAUUGGGCAUUCAUCUUGAUUUGCUUGCACAAAGCUUAUGCAGAAGUUAGAUUAUAUCUGGACUUUAUAGAGCAAUCUGAAUGACUGAGCACUUUAAUCUACUUUAAUAGCACCAACCUAAAUCUCCUGUGCACACUUGAAUCCCUCCCACAAAAUACCAACAAGGAGGUGGCCAGAGAGAAUGGCAGCUUACUCACAGGUGCUGGGCUGCGACUAGGUGGCUGGCAGCUGGGGAAUUCCUAUGCCAGCCGCUUGGGUUGGCAGGCUUUCCCACCAUCCAUUCCUUUGAUUUCUGACCAACACAGCCAGGCUAAAUAAAAGACUCCCAAUUCUUCUCA